GAUUAACGCUGGCGGCGUGCAUAACACAUGCAAGUCGAACGAUGAAACUUAAAUGAUUUCUUCGGAAUGAACUUAAGUGGAUUAGUGGCGGACGGGUGAGUAGCGCGUGAGUAACCUGCCUUACACAAGGGGAUAGCCGUUGGAAACGACGAAUAAUACCCUAUGAAACUAUCACUUCGCAUGAAGCGAUAGUCAAAGUGUUAGCGGUGUAAGAUGGACUUGCGUCUGAUUAGCUAGUUGGUGAGAAAAAAGCCCACCAAGGCAACGAUCAGUAGCCGGCUUGAGAGAGUGUACGGCCACAUUGGGACUGAGACACGGCCCAGACUCCUACGGGAGGCAGCAGUGGGGAAUUUUGCACAAUGGGGGAAACCCUGAUGCAGCGACGCCGCGUGAUUUAGAAGGCCUUCGGGUUGUAAAAAUCUUUUGUAUAGGAAGAAAAUGACAGUACUAUACGAAUAAGGGCCGGCUAAUUACGUG
rnacentral:rRNA from 1 species